rnacentral:rRNA from 1 species
CAGUCCCGCGGUAAUACAGAGGGUGCGAGCGUUAAUCGGAUUUACUGGGCGUAAAGCGUGCGUAGGCGGCUUUUUAAGUCGGAUGUGAAAUCCCUGAGCUUAACUUAGGAAUUGCAUUCGGUACUGGGAAGCUAGAGUAUGGGAGAGGAUGGUAGAAUUCCAGGUGUAGCGGUGAAAUGCGUAGAGAUCUGGAGGAAUACCGAUGGCGAAGGCAGCCAUCUGGCCUAAUACUGACGCUGAGGUACGAAAGCAUGGGGAGCAAACAGGAUUAGAUACCCCCGUAGUCCCUGUCUCUUAUACA